AAGUCGAACGAGAGAGAAGGAGCUUGCUUCUUCGAUCGAGUGGCGAACGGGUGAGUAACGCGUGAGGAACCUGCCUCAAAGAGGGGGACAACAGUUGGAAACGACUGCUAAUACCGCAUAAGCCCACGGGUCGGCAUCGAUCUGAGGGAAAAGGAGCAAUCCGCUUUGAGAUGGCCUCGCGUCCGAUUAGCUAGUUGGUGAGGUAACGGCCCACCAAGGCGACGAUCGGUAGCCGGACUGAGAGGUUGAACGGCCACAUUGGGACUGAGACACGGCCCAGACUCCUACGGGAGGCAGCAGUGGGGAAUAUUGCACAAUGGGGGAAACCCUGAUGCAGCGACGCCGCGUGGAGGAAGAAGGUCUUCGGAUUGUAAACUCCUGUUGUUGAGGAAGAUAAUGACGGUACUCAACAAGGAAGUGACGGCUAACUACGUGCCAGCAGCCGCGGUAAAACGUAGGUCACAAGCGUUGUCCGGAAUUACUGGGUGUAAAGGGAGCGCAGGCGGGAAGGCAAGUUGGAAGUGAAAUCUAUGGGCUCAACCCAUAAACUGCUUUCAAAACUGUUUUUCUUGAGUAGUGCAGAGGUAGGCGGAAUUCCCGG
rnacentral:rRNA from 1 species